CAUCACCGAGACUCAGAUCCUCUAGCAUCUCCGCCAGAGAGAUCCGUGGAGCACCCUCUUCAUCCGUGUCACUCUCCACAGGAAUCUUUGCAGCAUCUGAAAAUGCAAAGUGACGAGAUGAGCAGAUCUUUAGUGGGAAAUUGGACUCAAAUUCCCUUUUAAGAUGACGUUUUGUCUGUCCUUACUCCUUACCCGAUUGGACCUCAGACCAGCUCCUGCUCCUAAUUUUUGGUCCCUGAUGAUGUCGAUAUCCAUGACAAUGAACUCCUCCAGCUGCCGUGGACUGCAGAGGCUGCUGAAAGGGUUGCGCCAGGUAUGAUGGACUUGGAAAUUGUUGGCGAUACCAGCCGAGUCUCUACUUAGUAUCUUACUAUAGGCAAGAUAUUUUAAUAGUUCGAUUCACACAAAGCUUCACAUUUGCCAGCUUCUUGUUCAAAUUUCUCACCUUUUUCAACCGAUCCACCUUAAAUGGUGCAGCAGGUACAUUCUGGUGCAUCGGGCCACUGAGGCAUUCAGGCAUAAUUUAAGGUAAAACUCCAUAUCAGAAAACAUUACCAGCUUUAAAAGAAUAAUAAUGUUGUUCUUUUAAUACUGGUAAACACUGUGUUCACUCACUGUCCACUCUAUUAGACACUCCUAAUUUUUGAUCCACCUUGUAGAUGUAAAGUCAGCCGAUAGCUCAUCUGCUGCUGCAGUUUGUAUUCGUCCUCCUCUAGUC